rnacentral:rRNA from 1 species
GAUGAACACUAGCUACAGGCUUAACACAUGCAAGUCGAGGGCAGCACAGUGUAGCAAUACAUGGGUGGCGACCGGCGCACGGGUGCGUAACGCGUAUCCAACCUUCCCGUUACUCAGGGAUAGCCUUCCGAAAGGGAGAUUAAUACCUGAUGGUGUUUGAAUUCCGCAUGUUAUUCAAACUAAAGAUUUAUCGGUAACGGAUGGGGAUGCGUGACAUUAGAUAGUAGGCGGGUAACGCCCACUAGUCUACGAUGUCUAGGGGUUCUGAGAGGAAGGUCCCCCACACUGGAACUGAGACACGGUCCAGACUCCUAC